ACGCUGGCGGCGUGCCUAAUACAUGCAAGUCGAGCGAACAGAUGAAAAGCUUGCUUCUCUGAUGUUAGCGGCGGACGGGUGAGUAACACGUGGGUAACCUACCUAUAAGACUGGGAUAACUCCGGGAAACCGGGGCUAAUACCGGAUAAUAUUUUGAACCGCAUGGUUCAAUAGUGAAAGACGGUUUCGGCUGUCACUUAUAGAUGGACCCGCGCCGUAUUAGCUAGUUGGUAAGGUAAUGGCUUACCAAGGCGACUAUACGUAACCGACCUGAGAGGGUGAUCGGCCACACUGGAACUGAGACACGGUCCAGACUCCUACGGGAGGCAGCAGUAGGGAAUCUUCCGCAAUGGGCGAAAGCCUGACGGAGCAACGCCGCGUGAGUGAUGAAGGUCUUCGGAUCGUAAAACUCUGUUGUUAGGGAAGAACAAAUUUGUUAGUAACUGAACAAGUCUUGACGGAACCUAACCAAAAAGCCCCGGCUAACUACGUGCCAACAGCCGCGGUAAUACGUAGGUGGCAAUCGUUAUCCGGAAUUAUUGGGCGUAAAGCGCGCGUAUGCGGUUUCUUAACUCUGAUGUGAAAGCCCACCGUUCAACCGUGAAGGGUCAUUGGAAACUGGGAAACUUGAAGUGCAAAAUAGAAUAGUGCAUUUCCAUGUGUACGGCGAAAUGCACAACCUAUGGAGAAAACACCCGUGGCGAAGUGCCUUCCUGUUCUGUAACCGACGCUGAGGUGCAAAACCGUAGGGAUCAAACAGGAUUACAUCCCUCUGGUAACCCACACCGUCAACGA
rnacentral:rRNA from 1 species